CGGUGAGGUAACCGCAAGGAGCCAGCCGCCGAAGGUGGGGUAGAUGAUUGGGGUGAAGUCGUAACAAGGUAGCCGUAUCGGAAGGUGCGGCUGGAUCACCUCCUUU
rnacentral:rRNA from 2 species